CCGCUCAUCUCUCCCCCGGGUCCCCCAACCAACGCUGGUGCCUGUCAUCUACCGCCCCCCCCCCGCCAGUGCUGAUCAUCUCUCCUCCCUCCCUCCCCGCUGGUGCUGCUCAUCUCCCCCCCCCCCACACACCAUCAGGGCAGCUGCCGCUCAUCUCUCCCCCAGGUCCCCCAACCAACGCUGGUGCCUGUCAUCUACCGCCCCCGCCAGUGCUGAUCAUCUCUCCCCCCUUCCUCCCCGCUGGUGCUGCUCAUCUCCCCCCCCCCCCCCACCCACUCACCAUCAGUGCAGCUGCCGCUCAUCUCUCCCCCCAACCACCGCUGGUGCCUCUAAUCUACCCCCCUCUCACCUGGUGCUGCUUAUCAUCCCCCCCCCUCCCCCUCCCCUCCCCUUGGCCUGCAGUGCAAUGUACAGACCAAGGGAGCGCCGCGUCAGGAGCCUGCAGCCAGAAGAAGAAAUCAUUGUCUCCAUGGUCACGAGCCGAACUCCGGGACGUCACUUCCGCUCGGCUGGAGGGAGCUGGAGGCAUCGCGGGAGUCCUGCUGACGGCCGGGACAACGGGUUGCCAUGGUCACCAGGCCGGGCCCUGCUACGUCACAUCCGCCCUGCCGCCAGAAGCUGGGAGUGCAAGUCGGAGCUUGCAGGCAACGUGACUGGGGACGCACGCUGGUGGGGGAGGCCCAUGGGAUGUGUUCAGGAAAGACAUUACCUCCAGCUGGUCCUACAGAUGGUAUUAUAAACCUUAUACCUGACUGCUUUGCUUCAAUGAGUUCUGUUCCUGCAAUAAAGACAAUGUCAAACUGCAUUUAAGAAAUUGAAUUUGGAAUUCUCCAUCCCCUGCACAGCAGAAUUUUUGGCUGAAAGGAAGACCACAAACUCUGGAUUGAUUAUUGGAGCCACAACAAAAUGACUAGAAAUAAAUUAUACUGAUUUCACUUUUAGAAUAUGUUGAUUGCAUUAGAGGAGCUUCAUAUUUAGAAAACUAAAUGAAAAAAAUGACUUAUAAUUUAAUAUGAAUAAAAGAAACAGGCAUGUGAAAAACUCAGUUUAAUACUUGGCAUUAACACUACAAUGUUUAGUAAUGUAGCAAAGCUUCAUACAGAACCAUACAGAAAGUAGAUGGUGAUACAUUGCUAUCCAUCAAUAGUAUAAAGCACAAAACUUGUUUGCCAUGAUACGGUUUAACAAAGUAAACUGACAUUGUAAACGCAAUGUCAUUUUAACAUAAAUUAGAGAAGUUAGAAGAGUUGAGAACCAAGAAAAGAAGAAAAGGGGAGAGGAGGAGAGAAAAAAGAGUGAAAGAAGAGAGAGCAACUAAAAAAAAAAAAAAAAAAGGAGAGAAAGAGGAAG